rnacentral:lncRNA from 1 species
GUAGGGACAGGGUCUGCACCAGAGGGCGGUGGGCAUGGAACGGGCUGCACAGGGCAGUGGGCACAGCCUGAGUGCUGGAGUUCAAGGCUGUUUAGACAGUGCUCUCAGACACAGGGUUUGACUUUUGGGUAGUUUUGUUUGGGGCCAGGAGUUGGACUCUGUGGUCCUUGUGGUUCCCUUUUAAUUUGGGAUUUUUUGUGAUACUGUAACAGCUUGGGCAAGGACCAAGGCUUAGGGCAAAAGCAGGCAGGCCUCGGCUCCUCAGCUGUUUCUCCCAGCAGCCUGAAGCAGGUUCCUGCUGAGCUGCAUCAGCUCGGGCCUUGCACACAGGCAGCCACACCCCGGGGCACAGGGGUGCUCAGGGCGCUGGCAUGCAGAGCUUGCCAACAGUCCCUUGCUUCACACGCAGCUGGCACUGGGCGGUGGAGUGUGCCGGCGUGGACUUGUCUCUGUUUGCUCAGAGCUGUGUGUAGUUGUUUAUGCAAAGGAAUCCAAAAUGCCUCUUUAUUAACUGAUAACGUUCAUGUUAGGAAGGCUAUGGCUUUGGCUGUCAUUACUGCAAGUAAGAGAUCCCCAUAUUUGGGGAUGCGAAUCUAAGCAAGUCCCAGGAUGAAGCCUACGCACUUGGACUACAGGGGAUGGAUGAAGUGAAUUGCACCACUUCCCAUCAUUCAAGACCACCCAGCUGUAAUCAGCACUCUCACUGCACCUUCAACCCACAUAUAGGUGAGUCAAAAUCCCAGUAGAUUUCCCAGUAGAUGAAAAUAAUGAAUUGGCUUCAUACAUCACCAGCUGGAACCAGGGUCUAAAACCUUUUGGGAAAAGUGUAAGAAGACAUUAGCCUGAAAAUUGAGCAUUCUCAAAGGUCUGAGGAACCCUAUUGAGUCUUCUACAUACACAGAUGUGUUGCUGGCUGCAGCAAGUAGUAAACCACUAAUUCCCAAGGUAGUUCUCACUUGGACCAUAUAACUUCUGCUAAAACUGAUGUUCAGUGUUGCUUUUCUCAAAACAAGGUUAAUGCAGUAGCUCUGUAGCUCUGCAAUUAACACUAGCUACUUUUACUGUAGGGUCUUAUAAGAAAGGGCAUAGGCCUUUGUUGAUGCUUUUCCAAAUAAACUGGUAAUCUGGCUUACUUCUUUGGCUGGG